UACGGGAGUGGCAAGCGUUAUCCGGAAUUAUUGGGCGUAAAGCGUCCGCAGGCGGUCUGUCAAGUCUGCUGUUAAAGCGUGGAGCUUAACUCCAUUUCGGCAGUGGAAACUGGCAGACUAGAGUGUGGUAGGGGCAGAGGGAAUUCCCGGUGUAGCGGUGAAAUGCGUAGAUAUCGGGAAGAACACCAGUGGCGAAGGCGCUCUGCUGGGCCAUAACUGACGCUCAUGGACGAAAGCCAGGGGAGCGAAAGGGAUUAGAUACCCCUGUAGUCCUGGCCGUAAACGAUGAACACUAGGUGUCGGGGGAAUCGACCCCCUCGGUGUCGUAGCCAACGCGUUAAGUGUUCCGCCUGGGGAGUACGCACGCAAGUGUGAAACUCAAAGGAAUUGACGGGGGCCCGCACAAGCGGUGGAGUAUGUGGUUUAAUUCGAUGCAACGCGAAGAACCUUACCAGGGUUUGACAUCCUGCGAAUCUCUUGGAAACGAGAGAGUGCCUUCGGGAACGCAGUGACAGGUGGUGCAUGGCUGUCGUCAGCUCGUGUCGUGAGAUGUUGGGUUAAGUCCCGCAACGAGCGCAACCCACGUCGUUAGUUGCCAGCAUUUAGUUGGGCACUCUAGCGAGACCGCCGGUGAUAAACCGGAGGAAGGUGUGGAUGACGUCAAGUCAUCAUGCCCCUUACAUCCUGGGCUACACACGUACUACAAUGCUACGGACAAAGGGCAGCAAACUCGCGAGAGCUAGCAAAUCCCAUAAACCGUGGCUCAGUUCAGAUCGUAGGCUGCAACUCGCCUACGUGAAGGAGGAAUCGCUAGUAAUCGCAGGUCAGCAUACUGCGGUGAAUACGUUCCCGGGCCU
rnacentral:rRNA from 1 species